GAUGAACGCUGGCGGCGUGCCUAAUACAUGCAAGUCGAGCGAACGGACGAGAAGCUUGCUUCUCUGAUGUUAGCGGCGGACGGGGGAGUAAAACGUGGAUAACCUACCUAUAAGACUGGGAUAACUUCGGGAAACCGGAGCUAAUACCGGGUAAUAUUUUGAACCGCAUGGUUCAAAAGUGAAAGACGGUCUUGCUGUCACUUAUAGAUGGAUCCGCGCUGCAUUAGCUAGUUGGUAAGGUAACGGCUUACCAAGGCAACGAUGCAUAGCCGACCUGAGAGGGUGAUCGGCCACACUGGAACUGAGACACGGUCCCGACACCUACGGGGGGCAGCGGUAGGGAAUCUUCCGCAAUGGGGGAAAGCCUGACGGAGCAACGCCGCGUGAGUGAUGAAGGUCUUCGGAUCGUAAAACUCUGUUAUUAGGGAAGAACAUAUGUGUAAGUAACUGUGCACAUCUUGACGGUACCUAAUCAGAAAGCCACGGCUAACUACGUG
rnacentral:rRNA from 1 species